rnacentral:tRNA from 1 species
GGUAGGGUGGCCGAAUGAUUAGGUGGGGGGCUGUAAAUCCCCGUAUGGAGGUUUACCCCUCCCCCUAUCA